rnacentral:rRNA from 1 species
AGUACGGCCGCAAGGUUAAAACUCAAAGGAAUUGACGGGGACCCGCACAAGCGGUGGAGCAUGUGGUUUAAUUCGAUGCAACGCGAAGAACCUUACCUGGUCUUGACAUCCUGCGAACUUUCUAGAAAUAGAUUGGUGCCUUCGGGAACGCAGUGACAGGUGCUGCAUGGCUGUCGUCAGCUCGUGUCGUGAGAUGUUGGGUUAAGUCCCGUAACGAGCGCAACCCCUAUCCUUAUUUGCCAGCACAUCAUGGUGGGAACUAUAAGGAGACUGCCGGUGAUAAACCGGAGGAAGGCGGGGACGACGUCAAGUCAUCAUGGCCCUUACGACCAGGGCUACACACGUGCUACAAUGGGAAGGACAAAGAGCCGCGAAGCCGCGAGGUGUAGCUAAUCUCAUAAACCUUUUCGUAGUCCGGAUUGGAGUCUGCAACUCGACUCCAUGAAGUCGGAAUCGCUAGUAAUCGUAGAUCAGAAUGCUACGGUGAAUACGUUCCCGGGUCUUGUACACACCGCCCGUCAUACCAUGGGAGUUGGUUCUACCUUAAGGCAAGGUUUAAUACCCUUGACCACGGUAUAGUCAGCGACUGGGGUGAAGUCGUAACAAGGUAACC